rnacentral:rRNA from 1 species
GAUGAACGCUGGCGGCGUGCCUAAUACAUGCAAGUCGAGCGAACGGACGAGAAGCUUGCUUUUCUGAUGUUAGCGGCGGACGGGUGAGUAACACGUGGAUAACCUACCUAUAAGACUGGGAUAACUUCGGGAAACCGGAGCUAAUACCGGAUAAUAUUUUGAACCGCAUGGUUCAUAAGUGAAAGACGGUCUUGCUGUCACUCAUAGAUGGAUCCGCGCUGCAUUAGCUAGUUGGUAAGGUAACGGCUUACCAAGGCAACGAUGCAUAGCCGACCUGAGAGGGUGAUCGGCCACACUGGAACUGAGACACGGUCCAGACUCCUACGGGAGGCAGCAGUAGGGAAUCUUCCGCAAUGGGCGAAAGCCUGACGGAGCAACGCCGCGUGAGCGAUGAAGGUCUUCGGAUCGUAAAACUCUGUUAUUAGGGAAGAACAUAUGUGUAAGUAACUGUGCACAUCUUGACGGUACCUAAUCAGAAAGCCACGGCUAACUACGUG